AGACUGAUGGCCUAACGGCUGGGCGCUAAUUUUGGGAAUUAGAGACGGAAGUUCGACUCUUCCCAGACUG
rnacentral:tRNA from 1 species